rnacentral:snRNA from 1 species
AGGCGUGUGUCCAGGUGACACGUCUGAACAUUGAUCGCUGUUGAUUCGGCAGAUCUGUCCAGAAAGUGUCCCGUUUCUCGCACACUUCUAUGAUAUGGGCGCUCCCGCUGCCUCGCCGCACGGUCGAGUACCUCCGAAAUUCAUAUCGUCCCACCUUACGGUUGGGUAAAAGGGUUUAUAAAAAUUCAUUCCAAAUUUGCAGGGUUUCACCUCCAGGAAAGUUUGGAGUAAUUUCAAUCGUUCUCGACGCCACCACUAGGCACUCCACGUGGGAGUUUGCCAUCCUUU